GGUAAUGGCCCACCAAACCUGUAACCGGUACGGGCUUUGAGAGAAGGAGCCCGGAGAUGGGCACUGAGACAAGGGCCCAGGCCCUAUGGGGCGCAGCAGGCGCGAAACCUCUGCAAUAGGCGAAAGCUUGACAGGGUUACUCUGAGUGAUGCCCGCUAAGGGUAUCUUUUGGCACCUCUAAAAAUGGUGCAGGAUAAGGGGUGGGCAAGUCUGGUGUCAGCCGCCGCGGUAAUACCAGCACCCCGAGUUGUCGGGACGAUUAUUGGGCCUAAAGCAUCCGUAGCCUGUUCUGCAAGUCCUCCGUUAAAUCCACCUGCUCAACGGAUGGGCCGCGGAGGAUACCGCAGAGCUAGGAGGCGGGAGAGGCAAACGGUACUCAGUGGGUAGGGGUAAAAUCCAUUGAUCUACUGAAGACCACCAGUGGCGAAGGCGGUUUGCCAGAACGCGCUCGACGGUGAGGGAUGAAAGCUGGGGGAGCAAACCGGAUUAGAUACCCGGGUAGUCCCGGCUGUAAACGAUGCAGACUCGGUGAUGGGUUGGCUUCGAGCCAACCCAGUGCCGCAGGGAAGCCGUUAAGUCUGCCGCCUGGGGAGUACGGUCGCAAGACUGAAACUUAAAGGAAUUGGCGGGGGAGC
rnacentral:rRNA from 1 species